AUUUCGAGCUUCUGCUUUUUACAUAACUGACAGCUUUUUCAAAUCUAGCUGUUGUUGAUAAGUGUACUAUGAUGUAUCUUUGCUCUGCCUGGUUCCCUUAUGAUAUUAAUCUUUUAUGUGCUUCCCCUUGUGUCCUUGCUGGGCAGGACAUUGGCAAAAAGAUCCAAGGGGGUUGGAUCUUGAUUCACCAGGAGUUGGUGAAGGUCUCUCAAGGCUACCCAGGGAAGGGAAUUAGCUUUGGGAUGGUGUCAGUGGACCAGAUCUAAGCUGGUAGUUGAGCUUAGAAGUUUUCAUGCAGGCCCCCACAUUUGUACCCUAAAGUUCAGAGUGGGGAAGCAGCCUUGACAAAAGGGAAGGAGGAUAAUCUGGGGAACUACAGACUGGUCAGCGUCACCUCAGUCCCUGGAAAAAUCAUGGAGCAGGUCCUCAAGGAAUCCAUUUUGAAGCACAUGGAGGAGAGGAAGGUGAGGAAGGAACAGUCAUCAUGGAUUCACCAAGGGUUUGCAUAGGCACUGACUCCGUGGGUGCUCCAAGGCUGGGACAGAGUCGGGGGGUCCAGCAUGCUCCCCCACCACCUCGGAAAUUACAAAGUCAGCACCUAGGCUUGCAUCACCAAAUACCAACUUGACUUCCAGGCACCAAUGUAGCAAUGCACUUUUACAUCACUAUGAAUGCAGCAGAAGGUAUCAGAUACAAGGUAUCAGACUAAGAAAACAGUUUGGAGAACUAAGAAAUCUAAAGGCAGCAUGUGCAUGGUGAGGCUCGAGGAAACAACUAAAUCCACAGAUGCGGUAGGUGACUGGAGAGUUCUAGAGGCAUAACAGACCACAGCUCCAUCAAUAAUGAAGGAUGCAAGGAACAAGAAUCAGUCAAUAUGGCUUACCAUGGCCUGACUCAAAGAUGCGAAGGUUAUAACUGACUCUCCACAUUCUUGUUUGACUUUAAGGAUCCUUCUGCAAUAACUUCUAUGAAUUUAACAGAAAAUAAGAACCUGCCUAUACCUUAGCCAAUGUCAGGAUCCUAAUAAGGACAGUCAGGACCAAGGGUCAGAGCCAGGUCAAAGCCGAGGGUGGGAGUAGCAGAGGAGUUGAGCAUCAGGUUCCAGGCCAGGGUCAAUACCAAUGGUCAAAGUCCAAGUCUGGUUUCAAGAUCUUGGGUAGGGGGCAAAGUCCAAAUAAGCCAAGAUCAAAGCCAGGAAUUUGCAAGCAGGAAAGGCAAUAGCAACUACAGGAAAUCCAUCCCUUGUGUUUAUACAAGGCAGGGAGCUAAUCAGGAGCUGUGAGACGGCUGCCUUGAGGUAGAAUCCCUUGAGGUAGAACUUCCCAUAGUCUGUGUCCACAGCAGGUCAUGGAAAGUAGCACACAAGCUGGUUAUGGAUGGCAGCCUGGAGAUACUAGCUGCCUGGCAGCUCUACAGGCCUGGGUUCUAGACCUGCAGGACCUUGCAGCUCAAUCUUUCA